UACAGAGGGGGUGGGGGUCCUGUUAUGAAUUAUUGAUAUAUUCGGUUAUCAGUUGUUCCUAAAUUUUAAGAGGUUUGUUUUGCGUUUCCUCUUUCUUUUUUUUUCUUUUCACUUUUUCAUCUCCUUUAUACAUUCCUAUGGACGGCUCUUGCUAGGCUUUUUUUUUUCUUUUCUUAUACGUUUGGCAUCUCCGUGUUUAAAUACUACAGCAUCUUUUUAAUUUCAGCUUAAAUUUUUUUUUCUUUUUCCCCUCUAAAUUGAGGAUGAGCUUGUAUGGAAUAAUGAAUCUCAUUUUUCUCAGCUUCCUCUAUUUCUUCUCUAUUUGUUUCAUUUAUCCCGGCUUUCCAAUAUGCCGAUAUGGCUUUUACAACAAUAAAAACAUCACGUUUUGUUUGAAACCCUACCUUCUAGGUGUUAACGCGACAUAAUUUUAGGGUUAGGGUUAGGCAUCAACCGAUCUAUUAUUUAAUUACUGUACUCUCUUACAAGCUACGAUUAUGCACAUAAAAGAGGACAGAGAUGGAUGAGGAUUCCGGGGGAAAAGAUUAAAUUAAAUUAAAUUAAAUUAAGAACAUGCAAACGCACACGCACACACAAGGCCGUUAGUUCUUGCUCUGGGAUGAAAUAGUGUCAUUGGCAAUUAAUCAUUAAUUACUUUGGGUUGUUUGGUUCGAAUCUAACAUUUGGAAAGCAAGGAAUAGGAACUGCAAACAACGGUAUAGAGCGUAAUCUAUGAUGAUAUAGAAAUGUGAAUCCCAAACACACACACAUGGGCCCUUGGAAACAGUAUUUGCUGGACAUCAGGAAAAAAGAGACGAAAAAAAACGAAAUAAAAGAUAGAAAGA
rnacentral:sRNA from 2 species